rnacentral:rRNA from 1 species
UACGGAGGGUGCAAGCGUUAUCCGGAUUUACUGGGUUUAAAGGGUGUGUAGGCGGGUCUUUAAGUCAGUGGUGAAAUCUCCGAGCUCAACUUGGAAACUGCCAUUGAUACUAUUGAUCUUGAAUUCUGUUGAGGUGGGCGGAAUAAGUCAUGUAGCGGUGAAAUGCAUAGAUAUGACUUAGAACACCAAUUGCGAAGGCAGCUCACUAAACAGAUAUUGACGCUGAGGCACGAAAGCGUGGGAUCGAAACAGGAGUUAAGAAUGACCCAAGUAGUCCCGAGA